rnacentral:tRNA from 1 species
GGAGAGGUGCGAGAGCGGCCGAAUCGGGCUCCCUGCUAAGGAGUUGUGCGGGUAACCGUACCGUGGGUUCGAAUCCCACCCUCUCCG